rnacentral:rRNA from 1 species
ACGGAGGGUGCAAGCGUUGUUCGGAAUCACUGGGCGUAAAGGGCGCGCAGGCGGUUUGAUAAGUCAGAUGUGAAAGCCCAUGGCUUAACUGUGGAAGCGCAUUUGUAACUGUCAGACUUGAGUAUCAGAGGGGAAAAUGGAAUUCCCGGUGUCAAUUUGAGAGACAGCUCUGUCGGAGGAGGUAGCGGUGGAGUAGAAAUGUUUUUGGGAUAGUAGUGACGGAGACCAGAGAGAGCAUCGGCAUGAUUAAG